rnacentral:rRNA from 1 species
AUGGCCACUUUAGGUAGAGUCUUCAUUACUGUGGAGUGGGAGAGCUUACAUCCUAAUAUUCAGGUGAAAGCUCUGCCUAGAGUGGCUAGUGAUCACACUCCUCUGGUGGUUGAUACCUGUGCCAUUAAGAUCCCUAAAAACAAAAUGUUCAGGUUUGAGAAAUGGUGUCUUGAGGUGGAAGGUUUCAGGGAAGUGGUGAUCAAAGCUUGGAAUACUGAGUGUCACUUAGUUAAAGCCAUUGAUAUUUGGUAGUUCAAAAUUAGGAUUACUAGAAAUGCUAUUAAAGGGUGGUGCAUCAAUUAUGAGGCUGCCCAAAAUAGACAGAAGCAAUCUCUAAUUGCUGAAUAUAACUGCCUUGAUAUUAUUGCAGAAUCCCAACCUCUUUCCCCUAACUUCUGGAAUAAAAUUAAAUCUAUUUCAGGUGAGCUGAAUGAUAUCUAG